UUGAAGGUGAAGUUGUUUUCCAGUGUGGGGAUUGGUUAGGGAUGCGGAAGUGACUGUGAGGGGGCGGGGAAAUAAACAAGAGCCCUAACGGUGACCAGCGAUGUGUUUUAGAAGUUAAACAAGUUGUUUAAAGUCCGAGUUUCUAUUAGUUAGAUUUGAUUAUUAAAUCUUUUUAUUUUGCCUCGCUGGAUGCGUAUAGUUGUGGACCGCAGAUGCACAGAUGUUGUUUUUAUUUUCAUUGAUCAAAACGGAGAUUCUGUGUGAGCGGGUUCAAGCUAACGGCUAGGCUAACCGCUAAAGCUAACGGCUAAGCUAACGGACGGGCUAGCGUCCUCACGGCCUGAGUGGACUUUUUAGCGGACAGACUGAGGUGUUUCUGGACCAGGAGUUACCUGCCGCCCCUCAGACCUGCGGUUCUUUUACCGGGACCUUGGAUUGUUUGUCGGCGGACCGCUGGCUUUCACACACCGGGCUGUGAACUCCGCUACGGGGAUCCUGUUGGCUGCUAACUGAGACAUUUGCUGACGGUGGAGGAGAUCAACUACUCCGUGGGCUGCUUCCUGUAAAUCACCGUGGGGUUUUCCACUCACGACCAUCUGGAGAUCAACUCACAGGCCUGCAACGUUUUGAGGUCUCCAGUGGAACGGUUCCACGACUACAGUGUCAGUGAUGUGACCUUCAACCCCCAUGGAGCUCCGCCUGCCUCCAGGAAGAAGGAUGACUCAGCCGACCAAUCGGAGCCUAGGUCGACCUGUCGGCCAUGUUGUGGACGUUUGGUUGGUUCAGGACACAGAAAACAUCCACGUGGAGUCCAGAACCCACCGAGCUGCUGGUCCAGUCCAUCAGUUCAAACACAACACCAGCGUUUUUAACCAGAAAACAUCAGAAUGAUCUGAUUUCAUCUGCUGGGAAAACACCAACCAGUCAAACCUGCCUCCAUGUUGGUCCUACAGGAUGAUAGAAAGUAAAGACGAGCUGAUGGUUGCAGCACAACGACUUUAAAAGCAGAAUUUGUGUCUUUUUUAUUCACCGUAACUACAAUCUGGCUUCAUCUGUGAGCUCAACACUUCAAACGUUACCCUGGGAUUCAGUCACAUGUUGGUUGGUGUUGGUUCUUCUCAUUAAAACUCCAAAAAGUUGGUUUAAAAACAUGAAUCGUAGUUUGAGAUGCAACAAUUAGUCGAUUAGUUGUCAGCCUUUGAAUUAAUUUUUAUUACUUUGUUGUUUUUUUAAAAUUACAAACUUUCUAAAUGUAAAUAUUUUAGAUAUUUUAGUCAGUAAACUGAACACCUCUGAGUUAUGGACAAUACGAGACGUUUAUGGACGUUUUAGUCUUUGGAAACACUGAUCGACGGUCCUUUAGAGACCAAACAACUAAUUGAUGAAUGAGUAAAAUAAUGAACAGUGCACGAGUUUAGUUCUGAUUUGAUCAUUGCUGAACGUCUCUUUAUGUUUAUCAGUUUUGGAACCAAUAAUUUCAGUUACAUGCUGCGUGAAAAUCAAAGUUCAGUCAUUUAAAAGUAGGAAUUUGCUGCUUUUCUGUUUUUUUGCUUUUUUUGACGUAAAUUGACCUUUUUCGAAUUUUUAACCGUGUCCUUGAAUAAUAGUUCAUUGAUAGACACAAGGAGUCUUAAGCCACAUUAACAUGGAUGUUUGUCAAGGUUUUUUUUUUAUUGUAUUUCGG
ensembl:lncRNA